GAGUUUGAUCCUGGCUCAGAUUGAACGCUGGCGGCAUGCCUUACACAUGCAAGUCGAACGGCAGCACGGGGGCAACCCUGGUGGCGAGUGGCGAACGGGUGAGUAAUAUAUCGGAACGUACCCAGUAGUGGGGGAUAACUAUCCGAAAGGAUAGCUAAUACCGCAUACGAUCUGUGGAUGAAAGCAGGGGAUCUUCGGACCUUGUGCUAUUGGAAUGGCCGAUAUCUGAUUAGCUAGUUGGUAGGGUAAAAGCCUACCAAGGCGACGAUCAGUAGCUGGUCUGAGAGGACGACCAGCCACACUGGAACUGAGACACGGUCCAGACUCCUACGGGAGGCAGCAGUGGGGAAUUUUGGACAAUGGGGGCAACCCUGAUCCAGCAAUGCCGCGUGAGUGAAGAAGGCCCUCGGGUUGUAAAGCUCUUUUGUCAGGGAAGAAACGGUGAUCUCUAAUAUAGAUUGCUAAUGACGGUACCUGAAGAAUAAGCACCGGCUAACUACGUGCCAGCAGCCGCGGUAAUACGUAGGGUGCAAGCGUUAAUCGGAAUUAUUGGGCGUAAAGCGUGCGCAGGCGGUUUUGUAAGUCUGAUGUGAAAUCCCCGGGCUCAACCUGGGAACUGCAUUGGAGACUGCAAGGCUAGAGUGUGUCAGAGGGGGGUAGAAUUCCACGUGUAGCAGUGAAAUGCGUAGAGAUGUGGAGGAAUACCGAUGGCGAAGGCAGCCCCCCUGGGAUAACACUGACGCUCAUGCACGAAAGCGUGGGGAGCAAACAGGAUUAGAUACCCUGGUAGUCCACGCCCUAAACGAUGUCUACUAGUUGUCGGGACUUAAUUGUCUUGGUAACGCAGCUAACGCGUGAAGUAGACCGCCUGGGGAGUACGGUCGCAAGAUUAAAACUCAAAGGAAAUUGACGGGGACCCGCACAAGCGGUGGAUGAUGUGGAUUUAAUUUCGAUGCAACGCGAAAAACCUUUACCCUACCCUUGGACAUUGGCAGAAAUCCCUGA
rnacentral:rRNA from 1 species